UGCAGGCAUUAAUGAACUUAAUGAUGUUUAAAAAUCACCGUGUCCGGAAUAAUCCAUGGCAGUAACCGGCAUGACUGUCCCACCCCAGCUGCUUGCCACGCCCAUGUAGGCAUGUUAUUCACUAUUAAAUUAAGCCCGGUAUUCUGGGACUUGAUACCUUAUAGUGUGUUUGGUGAAACAUGCUACUUUUUUUCACGAUGGCUGUAAGGUUUCAGUUACUAAGAGCUUGAAAAUAUCGCUACCCUGGACAGGUAGCGAUAUUUGUGCACUUUAUCACGCCGUGACAACAUUGAUCAAGCAUACAAAUGUUGCUGAUCAGAACCUGGCAAUAGAUGCCGUUUUUGCAUUUUUAAUCUCAUCACUUUAAGUUGUGAAAGGUUUUUCAGGUGUCAUACACAUGUUGCAUAGGGUUCAUGUGGCAUCAGUGGACUACUUGUAUCAGGAAACAUUUCCUUUGUCCUGUUUCAAAUCUGCCAGUUAUUUCAGUCCCAUUGAUGGUGACGGUAUUUUCUUUAUACUUCCUUUUGCUGUUGAAGACCAUGAGGAUGAAAAUUUACAAAAUGGUACCUGUAGUUUUGUAAGUGUAUAAUGCUCACAUCAGGGAGCAGACAUAGGUUGUGGGUGUUUGUGACUAGUGUGCUGAAGAGAAUAUUUGAACCUCAGACAGGAAGUAACAUGGAAGAAACUAGAGGUGAUCUUCAUACCAUACUCUUUGCUCAGUGCCAAAUACAUUUGUACCUUGGACUUGCAACACAAUGUAAUCCCAGGAGUGGGUCAUAUACCAGGUUGAUUUAUAACAUGGGGUGUGUAGUUAAUAUUCAUGGAACUCAAAGCAGACACAAAAUAUGUGAUAAAUAGCCGAUUCAUCAUGUACAAAUCAACACUCAUGUCUCCCAGUAAUUGUCUACAUGUGGAGUUAACCUCGAGAAAAGCAUGUUUGAUAAUGUGUUGUGUGUAGUUGAUAAUGGUCAUAUCUGAGAAUUGGUUCAGUCAGUUUCAUAACCCUCAUUAGAAAUGCUUUUUGAAUUACUUUCAGUUCCUUGCUUAAGCAUUAUAUUGUAGGUGAAGAGAAUUCGCAGUAAGUUUCAGCAUCCCUCAGUAAGGCCAGGCGCAUGUUGAGGUGCAGGUGAAGCAAGGCAGCGCAGCGCAGCUUUCUGCGAUCCUAUAAGAUAUGAAUUCAACUGCGCAAGUUGAUGCGCAGAGCAGGUUGAAGCAGGAACUGAGUCUUACUCCUCUGCUAUACGCAGUGCUCAAGACGCAGAUUCCUGCUCGCAGGUGUCCCGUGCAAGGAAGAUGAUUGAAGAACUACCAAUCGAAGCUGUGCGCCGAAGGAAGAUUUUGUAUGAUACAAGCGAUCCAGAUUGUAUGAAGACUAAAUUGAAGGUGGAGAAGUGGAAUGUCAUCGCAAAGGAAAUUAAUUUAAACAAUGCUUAGGACAAUUUGGCAUGGAGUGAUUCAUCAGCACAGUGGUUCAGAAGCAGUCUCUGAAUGAUGCAGGCAUGGCUACAAGAUGGUUAUUUCAGACCAAGUUAAUAUCCAGAUAACUACAAUCUGUGUGCCAGAAUCUGUUUAGAAGGUCUGAAAAAUGUAUCUAAGCUGAUGGAGAAUAUUUUCAGGAUCUCUCAUAAGAGCUGUAAGGUGAGAAUACACACCGAGGAAGAGUGAGUCUCCUGCCAUGUUCAUGCUACCAUCCAGCAACCAAGAGUGGUUUCUGGGCAUCAAAUAUGGAACAAGUUCAUAUGAAUGUGUACCUGAAGCUAUUCUAGUGUCAGCUUCGUGAUCACACCUUGCAGACCUCAUGAGUUCAACUGAUUGUGCAGUAGAAGAAAAUUAACAAAGGACCUAUUAACAACUUUAUUACAAGAGGUGCCUAAUGUGGCUUCUACAUGCACCCACACAUACGAUGGGGUACCCAAAAGAAACCGAACUAAUUUUUUUGU